UAUUUUAUGGGUGCCGAUGACUCCUCUCUGUAUAGCAUGGGUGCGCCUCUAUUUGUGACCUCCUGAUCAUAUGGUGGCGACUUUUUCCCUUGCAUCAAAGCAAUAGCUUCCAAUCUUAAGCUCAAUAAUUUAGUGUAGCACAAUAAGUUUGGCUUUUGAGCCAUUAUAUCUAGCAUCUCCUUAUGAAUUCAACUUAAUGAGUUUCAUUUGUAUUAUGGAUUUGGUCAUUUUGUCAUUCUUCAGUCCUUCUGUCAUUUUAAUCUGACAAAGCUUAUCCAGUAACUUGGAUACUUUGGGAACUAAUGUGUGAGCCAAUAGACAUAAUAUUUGCACUACAACAUUUUCUCCUUUUUAUGGCUUAUCUUUUAUGUAUUGAAUUGUAUUCCUUGAUUGCUGUUACUAUCGUGCUAGUAUAAGCAGAAAAAUCCGACAAACCUGACUCUUAUUGUUAUUAAUUCAGACAAUAAUCUUUUCGGUUCUGUCUUAUGCUGACAUUAGGUUGUUGUAAAAGGAAGCAACUUGAUAACUUUAUACUUCCAUUAAUGAUCAAAAUCUAACUGAAUUUGCACCUUUCUCAGAGCUUAAAUAGGCUGCAGGCCUACAGCAGCAACAGCGAAUAGACUGAGAAGGAGAUGGAGUCAAGGCAUUCCCUUUAUCACGUACUGCUUUUAAUUUUGUGCGGUCUGUCUGCCCUGUGUCAAUGUUCGGCUACUGGGGUUGAAGCGAACCAGACAGCAGUAUUGUUUGUGAAUGCAUCUGAAGCAUCAGCAAGGAAAAUACCUGAUACUCUUUUUGGUAUAUUCUUUGAGGUG
rnacentral:lncRNA from 1 species